rnacentral:rRNA from 1 species
UACGAAGGGGGCUAGCGUUGCUCGGAAUUACUGGGCGUAAAGGGCGCGUAGGCGGACAGUUUAGUCAGAGGUGAAAGCCCAGGGCUCAACCUUGGAACUGCCUUUGAUACUGGCUGUCUUGAGUUCGGGAGAGGUGAGUGGAAUGCCGAGUGUAGAGGUGAAAUUCGUAGAUAUUCGGCGGAACACCAGUGGCGAAGGCGACUCACUGGCCCGAUACUGACGCUGGGGCGCGAAAGCGUGGGGAGCAAACAGG